CAGAAUUUUUUUCAUUUGGCAAGUUUUUUUCUCUCUCUUCUCUCCCCCUCUCUCUCUCUCUCGUACGCUCUUCUCUCCCUCCUCUCUGCCUCAUCUCAUCCAUCACCGUAACAUCCACCACAACCCACACCACCACCUACAAAUCAAUCACUCGUCAGAGGGAGGGAGUGGCCGAGUGUGAGAAUAUUUUCUGGGGAGGGAAGUUCCGGUGAGGAAGAGAGAGUUCCGGCCGUGAUAGAGAGUUCCGGUGGCGUUUCAUGGCGGUGUUUGGCGACGGUGAUGCUUCUUGCUCCUUCGUUCAUCUGGCUCCAUGGAAGAAUAAUGCUCCUUCAGACCUCCACCUUCCUCCAAGCCAGCCAAAUCUGGUGGUGACAAGCAGAAGAAGGUAUAAGUUGUUAUUGCAAACUGAUCAUGCCACAACAACAUCAAAGGAUGACAGAACCUGCCUCUAAUGUGGCAUCUUGCAGUGGAACUGCAAUGGAGAAGUCAUCAAAAGGAUAUUUUAGGAACAUUCAUACAAGUCAUCAGUUUUUACUUUAUCAUUUUAAGAAAAUAUUUAUAUUCUGGAUUCAGUCUAUUAUGCUUCCUAGGAUUUCAGCGUCUAAUUUCGACGUAAAACGUUGUACAGAUAACACUUGCAAUGGCUUCUUUCUAUUGUGAUUAUUUCUCUCCAAAUACGGCUUACAAACCAAAGAUGUGGACAGAAGCUUGGACUGGCUGGUUUGCCGAGUUUGGAGGUCCGGUACCUCACCGACCUGCUGAAGACUUGGCAUUUUCAAUUGCAAGAUUUAUGCAAAAGGGGGAUCAUUUAUCAAUUACUACAUGGUAACUUCAUUAUUUAUUGAAUUUAAUGUGUAACUUUGUAGGGUUCACCGUAUUUAAAUAUUGAACUUGGCCAUUCAUUUUGUUUAUUUCAAUAUCAUGGUGGAACAAAUUUUGGGAGAACUGUCGGUGGUCCUUUCAUUGCUUCAAGCUAUGACUAUGAUGCACCUCUUGAUGAAUAUGGAUUGCUUAGGCAACCGUAAUGGGGUCAUCUGAAGGAUUUACACAGAGCAAUAAAACUCUCCGAACCGGCUUUAGUUUCUGCAGAUCCAACCGUUACACGGAUUGGAAACUAUCAAGAGGUAGUUGAAGUUUCAACUUCCAAAACUGGAAAACAUGGAUAUGUUAAGUGACACUGACAUCUUCACUGGCUUGUGAUGUAUUCAAGAGUAUUAAUGUGAUGAAUCUUUUGAAUUCAGGUAGAAACUGAGGAUGAGGUACUAUUAUAUUGCUCUAACCUGUUUCUUGUGAUGUAUUCAAGAGUAUGCAGACUUAUUUUCCCAAAGUUGAUCAAUUUUUUCCUAUCAUCGUUUGUUUUUUUUGAAUCUUUUGCAAUAGACUUGGUUUUAAGAAGUUGAUCAAUUUUUGCGGUUUUGGUUUUGUAAAUUAUUUGCUAACCAUUUUACUUUGCUAAUUUGCUAAAUAUAAGGCGGUUUUGUUUUUUUAUACAUUUUUAGAUUGCUCUUCUUUCUCGCUUUCUUUUGGCAUACCUGGCGACGUGAAUGGGUGAACAGGGAGCACACACAACAACAGCGGCAGCCUCCGACGUAGUGCAGAUGGGAUAAAUGCAAUUGUAUCAUGAAAGCAUGCUCACAAAAAUGUGUUAACCAAUAGUGUGCAACUAUUUGGUUGCCAUACUUUUCUUUCUUUCCCAGAAAAGUUACAAGCCUCCUAAAAGACCCUUGACAAACAAGGUUCUCAAAAUCAUAGUUUCCAGCUUGCUUUAAUGUGAGAGAUUUGUAGUAGAUAGUAUUUUUGGGAGUUGCUAGAUGGAUUUCAAGAUGAUUCCUAUGAAGUUAGUAACUUAAGAGUUUGAAGAAAAAUUUGUAAAAUCUAAGGAAAGAGUUUCUUUUGUGGUGUUCUUGCAUGUUAUAAGGAAGAUUGACAUGUUAUAACUUAUAACUUAUGAUUCCUAUCUCUAUCAUUUUGUUUUCCA